rnacentral:rRNA from 1 species
UACAGAGGUCUCAACCGUUGUUCGGAUUCAUUGGGCGUAAAGGGUGCGUAGGCGGUCGCGCAAGUCGGAUGUGAAAUCUCAGGGCUCAACCCUGAAACUGCAUUCGAUACUGCGUGGCUAGAGUACUGGAGAGGAGACUGGAAUUUACGGUGUAGCAGUGAAAUGCGUAGAUAUCGUAAGGAAGACCAGUGGCGAAGGCGAGUCUCUGGACAGUUACUGACGCUGAGGCACGAAGGCCAGGGGAGCAAACGGG